AAAUUGAAGAGUUUGAUCAUGGCUCAGAUUGAACGCUGGCGGCAGGCCUAACACAUGCAAGUCGAGCGGUAGCACAGAGAGCUUGCUCUCGGGUGACGAGCGGCGGACGGGUGAGUAAUGUCUGGGAAACUGCCUGAUGGAGGGGGAUAACUACUGGAAACGGUAGCUAAUACCGCAUAACGUCGCAAGACCAAAGUGGGGGACCUUCGGGCCUCAUGCCAUCAGAUGUGCCCAGAUGGGAUUAGCUAGUAGGUGGGGUAA
rnacentral:rRNA from 3 species